UCCAGGGCUGGGAGAAGGGCUCUUUUGUCCUCGAACAGGGCCAUCUCGUUUCUUCCCACCCGAUUGCUUUCCCAUGAUCAAGGCCUGCUCCACCCGAGCAGCCUGAGAGGGCGCCUUUUGUCUCCGCUCGUUCUGCUUUCGUUCUUCCUCGAUCAGGUCCGAGUAGAGCGAGUCCAAGUCCUUUCCAGGUACAGCCGAGAGCAUCGAUGCGAAAGGUUGGAGAUCAGGGGAGACAGAGCUUAGAAGGAAUGCCUUAGCUUGGUCAAUGGUGAUUGCCGCUUCCGCGUCCUUCAGCUCGGUGAUCAUCGCUUUAAACUUUCCAAUCAUUGGCAGCUUUGGCAGCGAAGAUUUGUGUAAGGGAUGUCCAGUUCUGGUGGGCUGUUUUGGUAAGAUCAAGGAGAUGAACGAAUUCAUCCCCAAGACCUAACCCGAUGACAGAGAGCGCUUUUCGAUUCUUGGAGUCCCAGUCGAGCCGUUGGGUUACAUCCGCAGCAGCCGGACGUUGAGUCGUUCCAUCCACUAUAGGCCAGCAGUCCUUGGCCAAAAGGAUAAGCUGUACUUUUGUUUUCCAAGUGGAGAAAUUCUGUCCCGUGAACUUUUGGAGAAGUUUCUCCCAGCCCCCAGAGUCCCAAGAAUUUCCUGCUGCGUUAGCAGAAGACAUUCUAUCUAUUAAUCUAAGAAUAGAUUAAACAGA